rnacentral:lncRNA from 1 species
GCGGGUCCCACCUUAGGUCAAUCAGCGGGCCUCCCUUAGGAAAAGUUCUGGAUCUGCCACAAUUUUAAUCCAUUUUCUUUUUUUUUUUUUUUUUUCUAGUUUUAAGGCCCACUACUUCCUAUUCUUUAUAUUUCUGCAGACUUUUUUUGUUUUGUUUUUUUAAAGCCUUUUAUAUUGAUCACACGUAAGUGCAUUUUACAUAUUAAUUAACGUUCUUCAAUUCUAUUCUCUUUAGUUUUUAAUCCAUUUUCCUUUUUUUUCUAGUUUUUAGGCCUACUACUUCCUAUUCUUUAUAUUUCUGCAGACAUUUUUUUUUUUUUUCGUUUUUUGAGGCUCCUAUUACCUUAGCUGUAUUUGAAGAGCUACCAUAAUCUGGGUUUGUCUGUCCUUCCGUUUUCGAAUGGAAAAAUCAAAUGGUUCAGAACUGUAAUUAAUUUUCUAAAAUUUCUUUACGUUGGAUGUUAUUUGAUGAAAAGACUUGUUAAUCUGGAAUGAAAUACUGACUUGAUUAGUGGAGUCGCUUGUGGCAAUCGAUUGAAUGAAUUUUUCAGCGCUGUAAUAAUUUUUUCGAUAUCUUUCAUUGUUAAAAAUGUUUGAAGUUCGGACGCAUGCUGUUUAAUACUGGCAACAUUUUUUUGUACUUCGACGAUCUCUUUUUACGUCUUUUUCAGAGUAGUCAAUAAUUUUUCUAUUUUGCAUUUUUCGUGUUG